rnacentral:rRNA from 1 species
AUACGGAGGGGGCUAGCGUUGUUCGGAAUUACUGGGCGUAAGGCGCACGUAGGCGGAUUAAAAAGUUAGAGGUGAAAUCCCAGGGCUUAACCCUGGAACUGCCUUUAAAACUAGUAGUCUAGAGUUCGAGAGAGGUGAGUGGAAUUCCAAGUGUAGAGGUGAAAUUCGUAGAUAUUUGGAGGAACACCAGUGGCGAAGGCGGCUCACUGGCUCGAUACUGACGCUGAGGUGCGAAAGCGUGGGGAGCAAACAGGAGUAGAAACCCCGGUAGUCC